rnacentral:tRNA from 1 species
AAGUUAACUGUGCAAUUCAGUUUAAUUUGAUAAUUAAACCCUUACUUAAUUUAGCUUUUUUAUUUU